rnacentral:rRNA from 1 species
ACUCAAAUGAAUUGACGGGGGCCCGCACAAGCGGUGGAGCAUGUGGUUUAAUUCGAUGCAACGCGAAGAACCUUACCUACUCUUGACAUCCAGAGAAUUCGCUAGAGAUAGCUUAGUGCCUUCGGGAGCUCUGAGACAGGUGCUGCAUGGCUGUCGUCAGCUCGUGUUGUGAAAUGUUGGGUUAAGUCCCGCAACGAGCGCAACCCUUAUCCUUUGUUGCCAGCACGUAAUGGUGGGAACUCAAAGGAGACUGCC